rnacentral:tRNA from 1 species
AGUAAAAUGGCUGAGAUUUAGGCGAUAAAUUGUAAAUUUAUUUACGAGAGAAUAUCUCUUUUACUA